rnacentral:rRNA from 1 species
AUGCCUCAAGUCCAUCCAUGGUUUAUGGCUGGAGACCUGGAGAAGAACAACCAACUUUAUCUAAAAAUGGAAGAGCUAGCACCAAAGAGCCCCAGCCCACCUCGAAGAUCAAGUUCUAUGUGUAAUUCACGGAUAGUGGUUGUCGGCACAUCUUCUAACCAAGUCACCUCCAGUGAUCCUUCUGUUGACAAGCAGCCAGACCCAAGUCUCCAGAAAAAGCAUGGCCGCCGGCACAAAAUGGACGAAGAAGAGGUGAGCUGCCGCGGCAUCGAAGCUCUCGCACCGAUGCUCCCCGUCGAGCUCGCGCGUGCGCCAGAUCUGGUGGCCAACACAGCCCGUCCGUCCGCCGGCACCUCCAAGCAAGGCCUACAAUAG